GCCAUUAAAAUAACCUAUUAACCAGCUUAAAAAGACCAGUGAAUUAUGGUUCACACCUGUUACAGUUCUGAAAUUAAAAAUAAUGAUAAUGAUACAUCCCAAUUGGGCUAGGUGCAAGUUGUAGUUGUCUUUCCUUUUCUUCCCCUUUUCACUGGAAAUGCACAUUAACCACUUUUGGAAACCAUAGGUGCAGUUACACUGUAAAAUCCAGAUCAGAUCCUGCAGCUGCUGUUGGGAGUUAGCACUGCCUCAAGCCUAGCAGAAUCCAGGAAUACAUGAGUUAUGUAGUGCCACAGUGAUCCAAAAUCACAGGUUUCUCACAUUACCUGGCAGUGGAGGGAGAGAACACCAUGGACAGCGUGUCCCAUGACAACAGGCAAUGCAUGAAAAUACGGCCUAUAGUUAUUUAAAUUUUGUCAUUUUCAUAUGCUGGUGGCUCUCUGCGUCCUAUAAUCACAUGUCCAGCAGGAAGAAAGCCCCUUAAAGCAACCUCCAGACCUCCUUCUGAUAGUUCCUGAAUGCUUUGCUCUGGGGAUGAGGGUGGAGCCAGGCUGGAGGAGCAGCCUCGAAGCCUGAUUUGACACCCUUCUGCACAAAGAGGUCCUACUCAAGUGAAGAGCCUGGAAGGGAUAAAUGCAACUGCUAAGUUGCUGACAGUACUGAGAAAAUACAAAUAGCAACCCUUAUUGCCUGUGGUUUAGAAGGGUAAGCAGCAGAGACUGAUGAUUAAACGGCGACACCAAAGCUUUGAUCUGCUUUUGUGACACUGAUGCUCCAGUGAAGAUCAGGGCGUGUACCCUGAUCUCAGGUGCUCUGCCGGCACAGAAGUCCCUCUCCUAAUGUCUCAGUGCAGUACCCUGAAGACUUAAUUAGAGACGGAACGUGUGGCAGGAAAAAGAGGAGAAGACAGCAAAUGUGACAAUACAGAACAGUAUCAACAGGAAACCGCAUGUUUUAAAGACCAAAGUUAUCUUGUUAUCUUGGCUGUGAUGUUGUAUCUCCUGCUGGGUUGCAAUGGGUGACAGCUCAGGAAAAUCCAAAUGUUUAGUGGUGUCUGUCCCUUCGAGUCUGUGCUGAAUCACAUCAGAGGCUGUAACACCACCAGCAUGGUGGUAGGUGAACAAUGUGUUAUUGUUAAUAGUCUUUUGGAUAAGACACAAACCCAGAAUCUUAACCACAGAAUAUUAAAUCACCUCUUUUGGCAUGAAUAGAUAGGCUUACUGAGAGCCCUAAUCCAGUUCUAAUUUACGUUAUUAUCUUUUGUGUCUCUAAACACUUCCUGUAGUUUUGAUUAGAUUUGGUCCUGUUCUCUUCUUUUCCUUGGAAUAUAAAUGAUGAGAACAAACUAUGCUGUACUGAUGUUUGAAUAGGUUCUUAUUUUCAGGACUGGUUUUUUGCACUGGGAAGUGAAAAAAAAGGAAUCAAAUAUACCAUGCACGCAGUUUCUCAGUAUUUGAUCAGGGUUAUUAUAUCAAAUCCAGUGUAAUUACUGAUUAUGCCAUUACAAUUAAGUAGUAUUUCACAUGCAUGAGAUAUAAAAUACAGACUAUCAUCUGUACAGGGUGAUUGAGAUUAAGAUGCUCUGGCAGAGACUUUGUUUUAAGACACUUCUCACUAGCCCACAUAAUAUUUGAAAUCUUGCACAUCUGAAGAUAACCAAAGCGCUGAAAGAAGUGAGAGGUUCUCUGUGCCUGUUUUAAAAUUACCCAAUUAAAUGCCACCAAAAAACAAUCAAACAAACAAACUUCCGACAGACAAACAAAAAGGAGGGAAUGUGGCAAAUUUAAGAUUUUUUAUUAAUGUAUUGUGUGCUAUAUUCCAAGUUCUGAUCCUGCUAAAAAUGAUUCCUUGAAAUUACAACAAAAUUUGCGUGUGGUGCUUAUAAAAUUGCUUCAGUGUUUGAUCCUUGACUGAUGUUCAGUUUAGAUGGUUUAAAAGAGAAGCAUGGAAUUUGCAUGAAUGACUGAAUGAAAUCAAGAUGAAGGAAUGUAACUGAUGCUGCCCAGAUAUUUUCUCUGCCCUGCUAUACAGCGUGAAAUAAAUCUCAUUGAAAUCAA